rnacentral:rRNA from 1 species
AAAUUGAAGAGUUUGAUCAUGGCUCAGAUUGAACGCUGGCGGCAGGCCUAACACAUGCAAGUCGAACGGUAACAGGAAGAAGCUUGCUUCUUUGCUGACGAGUGGCGGACGGGUGAGUAAUGUCUGGGAAACUGCCUGAUGGAGGGGAUAACUACUGGAAACGGUAGCUGCUGACGAGUGGCGGACGGGUGAGUAAUGUCUGGGAAACUGCCUGAUGGAGGGGGAUAACUACUGGAAACGGUAGCUAAUACCGCAUAACGUCGCAAGACCAAAGAGGGGGACCUUCGGGCCUCUUGCCAUCGGAUGUGCCCAGAUGGGAUUAGCUAGUAGGUGGGGUAACGGCUCACCUAGGCGACGAUCCCUAGCUGGUCUGAGAGGAUGACCAGCCACACUGGAACUGAGACACGGUCCAGACUCCUACGGGAGGCAGCAGUGGGGAAUAUUGCACAAUGGGCGCAAGCCUGAUGCAGCCAUGCCGCGUGUAUGAAGAAGGCCUUCGGGUUGUAAAGUACUUUCAGCGGGGAGGAAGGGAGUAAAGUUAAUACCUUUGCUCAUUGACGUUACCCGCAGAAGAAGCACCGGCUAACUCCGUGCCAGCAGCCGCGGUAAUACGGAGGGUGCAAGCGUUAAUCGGAAUUACUGGGCGUAAAGCGCACGCAGGCGGUUUGUUAAGUCAGAUGUGAAAUCCCCGGGCUCAACCUGGGAACUGCAUCUGAUACUGGCAAGCUUGAGUCUCGUAGAGGGGGGUAGAAUUCCAGGUGUAGCGGUGAAAUGCGUAGAGAUCUGGAGGAAUACCGGUGGCGAAGGCGGCCCCCUGGACGAAGACUGACGCUCAGGUGCGAAAGCGUGGGGAGCAAACAGGAUUAGAUACCCUGGUAGUCCACGCCGUAAACGAUGUCGACUUGGAGGUUGUGCCCUUGAGGCGUGGCUUCCGGAGCUAACGCGUUAAGUCGACCGCCUGGGGAGUACGGCCGCAAGGUUAAAACUCAAAUGAAUUGACGGGGGCCCGCACAAGCGGUGGAGCAUGUGGUUUAAUUCGAUGCAACGCGAAGAACCUUACCUGGUCUUGACAUCCACAGAACUUUCCAGAGAUGGAUUGGUGCCUUCGGGAACUGUGAGACAGGUGCUGCAUGGCUGUCGUCAGCUCGUGUUGUGAAAUGUUGGGUUAAGUCCCGCAACGAGCGCAACCCUUAUCCUUUGUUGCCAGCGGUCCGGCCGGGAACUCAAAGGAGACUGCCAGUGAUAAACUGGAGGAAGGUGGGGAUGACGUCAAGUCAUCAUGGCCCUUACGACCAGGGCUACACACGUGCUACAAUGGCGCAUACAAAGAGAAGCGACCUCGCGAGAGCAAGCGGACCUCAUAAAGUGCGUCGUAGUCCGGAUUGGAGUCUGCAACUCGACUCCAUGAAGUCGGAAUCGCUAGUAAUCGUGGAUCAGAAUGCCACGGUGAAUACGUUCCCGGGCCUUGUACACACCGCCCGUCACACCAUGGGAGUGGGUUGCAAAAGAAGUAGGUAGCUUAACCUUCGGGAGGGCGCUUACCACUUUGUGAUUCAUGACUGGGGUGAAGUCGUAACAAGGUAACCGUAGGGGAACCUGCGGUUGGAUCACCUCCUUA